AGGGGUGUCGCCAAGCGGUAAGGCACAGGGUUUUGAUCCCUGCAUACCUAGGUUCGAAUCCUAGCACCCCUG
rfam:Legionella shakespearei DSM 23087 strain ATCC 49655 Lsha_ctg046, whole genome shotgun sequence.